rnacentral:rRNA from 1 species
CCUACGGGCGGCAGCAGUGAGGAAUAUUGGUCAAUGGGCGCUAGCCUGAACCAGCCAAGUAGCGUGAAGGAAGACUGCCCUAUGGGUUGUAAACUUCUUUUAUAUGGGAAUAAAGUGCAGUAUGUAUACUGCUUUGCAUGUACCUUAUGAAAAAGGAUCGGCUAACUCCGUGCCAGCAGCCGCGGUAAUACGGAGGAUCCGAGCGUUAUCCGGAUUUAUUGGGUUUAAAGGGAGCGUAGGCGGGUUGUUAAGUCAGUUGUUAAAGUUUGGGGCUCAACCGUAUAAUUGCAGUUGAUACUGGCAUUCUUGAGUGCAGGAGAGGUAGGCGGAAUGCGUGGUGUAGCGGUGAAAUGCUUAGAUAUCACGAAGAACUCCGAUUGCGAAGGCAGCCUGCUGGCCUGUAACUGACGCUGAUGCUCGAAAGUGUGGGUAUCAAACAGGAUUAGAUACCCUAGUAGUC